rnacentral:rRNA from 1 species
UGGGGUAUAUUGCACAAUGGGGGAAACCCUGAUGCAGCGACGCCGCGUGAGCGAAGAAGUCUUUCGAGUCGUAAAGCUCUGUCCUAAGAGAAGAUAAUGACGGUAUCAUAGGAGGAAGCCCUGGCUAAAUACGUGCCAGCAGCCGCGGUAAUACGUAUGGGGCGAGCGUUGUCCGGAAUUAUUGGGCGUAAAGGGUACGUAGGUGGUUUUUUAAGUCAGGUGUCAAAGCGUGGAGCUUAACUCCAUUAAGCACUUGAAACUGAAAGACUUGAGUGAAGGAGAGGAAAGUGGAAUUCCUAGUGUGGCGGUGAUAUUCGUAGAUAUUAGGAGGAAUACCGGUGACGAAGGCGGCUUUCUGGACUUUUACUGACGCUCAGGUACGAAAGAGUGGGGAGCAAACAGG